rnacentral:rRNA from 1 species
GCGAGUGGUGCAAGCGUUAUUCGGAAUCAUUGGGCGUACAGGGCGUGUAGGUGGUAUGUUAAAUGAGAAGGAAAAGAAGGUAGCAGAACUGGAGAAAGGCAAUGGAAACUGGUGUACUAGAGGGUGGAAGAGAGAAGUGGAAUUCUCGGUGUAGCGGUAAAAUGCGUAGAUAUCGAGAGGAACACCGAUGGCGAAGGCAGCUUCUUAGUCCAUACCUGACACUGAGGCGCGAAAGCGUGGGGAGCAAACAG